rnacentral:rasiRNA from 1 species
CGAGAUGAUAAUCAGAGAACUGCAU